AGCACACAGGUCGUCACCAUGGGAUGGAGCUGGAUCAUCCUCUGCCUCCUGUCAGUAACUAAAGGUGUCCACUCCCAGGUCCAGCUGCAGCAGUCAGGUCCUGGACUAGGGAAACCUGGUUCCUCACUGAAGUUGUCCUGCAAAGCUUCAGGCUUCAACAUUGUUGACACCUAUAUGAACUGGGUGAAGCAGAGGCCUGACCAGGGCCUGGAGUGGAUUAGAUGGAUUGAUCCUGCAGAUGGUAAUACUGAGCACAAUCAGAAGUUCCAGGGCAAGGCCAAAUUGACUGUAGAUACAUCCUCCAGCACAGCCUACAUGGAGCUCAGCAGCCUGACAUCUGAGGAUUCUGGGGUCUAUUACUGUGCGAAAGACACAGUGUUGCAACCCACAUCCUGA